UUAUUUAAUAUAUUUAACAUUAACAACCUGCUGUAGUUUGUAAACAUGACAGUAGCAGUUUUAGACGGGUAGCACAGACAGAUAGACCUAGCCAUCUAUUCGUGGAACGGUAGGAAAAUCUGACAAGGUAGCACUGAUUGUCAGAACACCAGGUUUACAUCUGCUGCUGCACAGAGCUGCUCAGGUGUGUUAGAAUCAUGGCAGCAAACCAGUAAACGCAAAGAACUUUGCAGUUUUUCCCCAAACUAACCGGCUAACGAGGUAGCAUCAACUGAUGGUCCAAUAGAUUUUGGCUCAUGUUUUUCUGGUCCGAUGUUUUUCAUUCGGAACCAGGCAGGACUUGAACUGGAAUCUGGAUUCUUGUUUCAGAAGAUUUUCAGUUCUUCAUAAGAAGAACUGUUCAGUUCAGUUCUUCAUAAUAAGAACUGUUCAGUUCAGUUCUUCAUAGUAAGAAGAACUGUUCAGUUCAGUACUUCAUAAUAAU